rnacentral:rRNA from 1 species
AUUGAACGCUGGCGGAAUGCUUUACACAUGCAAGUCGAACGGUAACGCGGGGCAACCUGGCGACGAGUGGCGAACGGGUGAGUAAAGCAUCGGAACGUGCCCAGUAGUGGGGGAUAGCCCGGCGAAAGCCGGAUUAAUACCGCAUACGACCUACGGGUGAAAGGGGGGGAUCGCAAGACCUCUCGCUAUUGGAGCGGCCGAUGUCAGAUUAGGUAGUUGGUGGGGUAAAGGCCUACCAAGCCUGCGAUCUGUAGCUGGUCUGAGAGGACGACCAGCCACACUGGGACUGAGACACGGCCCAGACUCCUACGGGAGGCAGCAGUGGGGAAUUUUGGACAAUGGGCGCAAGCCUGAUCCAGCCAUGCCGCGUGCGGGAAGAAGGCCUUCGGGUUGUAAACCGCUUUUGUCAGGGAAGAAAAGCCUUGGGUUAAUACCCUGGGGUGAUGACGGUACCUGAAGAAUAAGCACCGGCUAACUACGUGCCAGCCGCCGCAGUAA